rnacentral:sRNA from 1 species
GCAAGCAAGCAGUUGGGCACAGUGUGACUCAGUAGCCAGUGUUGGUUCAAAUUUCAGUCUCUCCCUGAGUUGCCUAUUUCAGAUGUAUUUAAACGCAACACAAUUUGGUGAAAACUAUUCUUGUGGUGAUUGACUCAAUCCUGUGUGCACAACUAAGCAUACCUAAGUCUCUCUGAGGAACAAAGUAAGUUAAAUACCAAUUUGACACCUUCCAUAAAGAUGGGUCUUAUAGAGUGACUGAGAAAAACAGUUUAAAAGGAGGAUCUGGUCCAAGAAAGUCUUCAACCACACACAUUUUCCAAAGUUCACCAGUCUAGUCUGCCCCAGCCUUCUGGGUGGAAAACUGGUUUUGCAUUCCUUCCCUUGAAGGAACAACCCUGUGUUCUUAACAGUCCACCUCCCCCUAGUGCAUGUCUGUGAGCACAGAGACCUCAGUGCCCCUUACUAUUACAUAAUAACAAAAACAAGCAUGAGAAUCCAAAUCUGUGCUUUCCUCAAGUCAGCCUGUUGUAAAAGUUUCCACUGAUGGAUCCCAUCAAUGACAUGUGCUUUGUUUAACCAGCUAUGAAUCUAUCUACUGUUUGUUUCUUUGGCUUUUUCUCAUAAAAUGAUUUCUCUCUCUAUUCUACUUCCCCAAAGAACCUCACGACGUAGCCCUACCUGGCCUGGAAUUUGCUGUCCAUGCUAGGCUGGCCAUGACCUCACCGAGGCCUGCCUUCCUCUGGCUCCAGAGUGCUGUGAUUAGAGGUACUGGGAUGCAGUGACAUCCAAGGCGAGCCUGGAGAAAGCCAUACACAGGGCUGAGAAGAUUGAGAUGGACCUUCAGCACAUGCAGGCCGAGGGCCUUGGCAGGGUAUCUGUAGCAGACAGAGGUUUCUGGAACCCAUGAUGGAACGUGGAGAAGGAGGAAACUAAUGUCACUCCGAUAACUGCCCAGGUUGAAGUCCCCUCCAGUCACCAUUUCACCACUGUGGUGGCCUUUUCAUACACGGUAGGUAUCUUUGCAGGGCUAUGAAGCUAGCUGUGAGCUCACACUCACUUCCUGGAGAAGAGUAACAGUCCCUCCCUCUGUCACAGCCCGGCCAGCUCUCCAGUGAGCACAUCCUCUGAUGGGGUUUCCUAUGCUGAGAUUAAAUGGUGCUCUUUGAUCUGCUUUGGAAAGCUGCUCCGAGGACAGCUUCCUUUGGUGUCAGGAUACCUCCCAACACAUAUGCUUCCUUCAUCACUGGUCUUUUUAUGGAAUGGGCUUCAGCUUUAUUCUAACUAACCGUGGAUGUUUGCCUGAAGGUGGAUUCUUUUCCCUUUUAUUUUACUUGAGGGAUGGGAAGGGGUGAGAAAUAGCUGAUCCACCAUGAUUAUAGAAGAACUUGAGACUCACAGACAGGAGGAUGUGAGCCUCAGCUCUGAGUGACCCUGGGCUUUUGCUUUAUUUCUCUGAGCCUCCAUGCUCUGAAUUAGACCCAUAUUAGGCAUGACAAACAUUUAAGAAACAGCUUUUAAGACCUGUUCAUCAGAAGGAGCUGCUGAAUGUUCACAGGGAAAUCUCUGCCUCGACCACUCAAAAUCAUCUGGAUCCAACACAGAGGAACUUUCUGGUCUUCCAGGACACAUAGUGAGUGAGACCCCCCCCCCUCCCCCAGGCUGCGGACAGAGCACAUCCCCCUGUCAGUGAUGCUUUAGAGGUCAGGACAAUGGGUCAGACAUGGACAAAGGCUUUGUAUCAGGGAAUGAAGCAGACUCACUUCUUCCAUUGGAGCCAGGCAGGGAGAAGAGAGAAAGUCAGUGAAUCAACUGUAGUGUGGUUAGGGCUAGUGGAGGACUGCAGAGAGCUUCACUGAUUCUGCUUUUCUGGAAACUUCCCUCUCAGAGGAGAUGACAUUUGAGUUGGGGCUUAGAGCAUGAGCCAGGGGUCUCUAGAGAGACGGGGUUAUUAAAAACAUUGCUGGUGGUAGAAAGCAAAGCGGAGAGGCGUAGUGGAAGAACCGCUGUGGUCUGAAUUUAGACUGCCCCCUCAGUGCACGUGUUAAAGGCUUGAGCCUUAGCACACCGCUGUUGAGGAGUGGUAGAGCCAGUGGGGCCUGUGGGACCUUGAAGGAGAUUGGGUAGCACUUGUCUCCUUCUUUGACUUCCCAGUUACAGUGUGAUGAACAGGUUCCUCUAACCGCAGGACCCCAUUGUGAUGUGCAGUCUCUCCACAGGCGCCAAGAAAUGAAUAGGCAGUAUCCUCUGAAAAUGUGAGCCACAGCCAACACUCUCCUCCUCACAGAUUGUUCGUCCAAGGUAUUUGUGAGGGAAACUGAAUGCUGAAGCAAAGGGUUGCUCUCUGCGUUCUAUGGCUGGACUACUGAGUCAGAAUCGUCACGGCUAAGGGCAGGGUACAGCCAAUGCUUACUGGACUUUUAACUUGGGCCAGGUGUUGUACAAAGAGACCACUGCAUGUGUCAUCUAAUCCAGUCCUCUCUGUGCUAUUACUAACCGUACUUUGCAGAGAGGUGAGACUGAAGUAGAAAGGUUAAGGAAUUUGUCAUCACCGAUCUAUAUGACAAAACCAGAGGGAGAUCUGGUUCUAGCCAACUUCAAAGCUGACUUUAGCCUCUUUCCAAGAGCCUGGAACAAAGUACUGAGUGGUUUGUGUGCUGCUGAUCUGGGAUUUCCACUUCCUCCUUGAUGUGGGGAUAACCAGGGGGCCACACAGUGGAAGGAGCGGAGAUGAGAGCAUGGGGACAACAGUCACAGAUCCACUCUGUCCCACCUGUAGUACACACCAGAGCCUUCCACAGGGACGCAUGCACAACCCACUGUCCUGCUGCUGCCAAGGCUAAACUUCUCAGGAGCUGCAGGUAUGAUAUAGGGCAGAGGAGUUUUGAUUUUUCAUAGUGGAGCAUUUUUGCCUUAGGAUCCAGCAUGAAUCCACUGGGACCAGGACAACCUGCCAAACAGAUCUGUACUGUACAUGGUCUCUGCUUGCUUGUCCCAUAGGACCUGUCUCAGAACUGAAUUUUUGUCCUCCUUCCAACUCCCCUCUUGAUGCCUAUAAAACCACUAUAUGUAUUUUCUUGUUUGUAAAAGUAACACAUGUCAAUACUGGAGAAAGCUCAAAGAGCAUGAAUACCGAUGUGUAUCAGUUACCCAUCCCUAUGUCACAGAUUAUCUGAAACCUUGCACUGUGAAGCAAACUUAAGUUCUCACAUGGCUUGAGAAUGAGAAAUCUGGGAAUGGCCUAGCUGCUGGUGUCAUGAAGGGCAGCCAGGGGGUAGGUGGAGGCUCUAGUGAUAGGGCGUGGAGAAUUUGCUUUCAGAGGGAUGCUGGCUGGGCCCUUCAUUCUUACACGUAGACUUCUCCCAAGCGCUGCUCAGAACAUGACUUUUCUAAUACCACGCACCAGAGAGUGAACAAAAACAGAACUCACAAGCUCAUUUCAAAUUGACAGUUCAUCACAUAUGCAGCAUUCUGUUGGCCAAACACUGGUCUGAGAAUGAUAUCUUAGGGGUGGGAGUGUUUCUAGCACAGUUCAUCAUCAGUGAUCGCUACUGCUUCUUGUGAAGGUUGCCAACCACAGUGGACACAUUAUAACGUUAUAAUUAACUUAAGUUUGUACCUGGAGUCCCCCUCUUCCUCUCAAAGCAUUGCAAACUGUAAAAGACCACUUGGAGGUCACAGUGAUGGGAGUGUAGUGGUAAGUGGUCGGGACCCCAACAAACUGCCUUCUGAUUGCCUUCCGAGCCCAGGGCACACUGUGUGUGGAGUAGGGAAGGGAAGAGUAAUGGCAAUAGAGUGAAUGUUGUUCUUUUCUCUUAUGGGGAAUUCAUUCCCAGAACACUCUUGGGCUCCUCAUCCCAAUAGUCUGUCAACAGACUCAUAACUGAGAAUGGCCUCAGCUUAAGUCAUCAGAUUCCUGUGGUACCCACACUGACUUCAAGCUUUUUAUACUAAAAAAAAAAAAAUUGUGUGUGUGUGUGUCUGUGUGUGUGUGUGUGUCUGUGUGUGUGUGUGCAUGCACAUGAGUACAGGUGUCUACAGAGGCCAGGGAUACCAGAUACCCCUGGAGCUGGAAUUACAGAUGGUUGUGAGCUAGCUAUCUGAUGUAGGUCCUCUAGCCUGGGCUCCAACCGUUUACCUGGGACAGGCCCUCUGUGCAUAUUUCCAUCAGCUUUAUGGUGAAAACCAUUAGAUGCUCCAUAUCAACCGUCUGAGAGCUGUGACUUCUCAUGAAGCGCCCCUAAGGGAUGAAUGUUGGUUCUUGACUCUAUACGUCAUGCAGAAAGCAGAGACACAAACCAUUUAUAAGCAGCUGCAUAUUGUGUCUGUGGUAUUACAGGUUCACAGGGAAGGUGAUUAGGAGGAGAAUGGCUUAAAGGCUAUUUGGGAAAGCAGUGGUGGAAAAACAGGUUGAAAAACACUUAAGGUCCCGAGAGGCGAAGAGUAAUUACAUAAAUUACAAAAAUAUGGUUUUUGUUCUAUCCACACUUUUUAAUAGAAGACUUCCGUUUAACAGAAAUAUCAGGGAAAAUCAAAUGAAUCUUGAGACUCUGAAUUCAGAACAAGUCACAGAUGUUAAACACAGCAAGGGAGCCCCUUAAAUAGACUGCAUUUGGGGCACUUCAUCCAUCUGAUACUCUGUGGGGAUUUUUAAAUGAAGAUACAGAAAUUCCCCAAAUGGUUUUAUUCGUACUGGUAAUAUUCACUGAAUUUGAAUUGAUAUUAGACAUCUGUGAUCAAUUAGAUUUGGUCAUUGGCUAAUUACAUACAUUUAAAACAUAUCCAAGGCAAAGAUAUUAUAGUCGAGCAUAGUAAUUCAACUAAUAUUAUGAUUGAAAAUAUUCUAAUCUUUUAUCAGUGCAGGGUAGACACAUGAAGGAAUAUUAUUUUAUUUGCACAGUUUAUAAAGAGCUUUGAUAUAAAUUCCUUUUGAUGAUUUGUUCUUCUGAAGAGCCCUGCCGUGUGGAAAUUGUUUCCCUAUUUUCAUUUUAGGCAGAAGGAAGAUGAGGUUCAGCCCUUGACUGAUCCAUCCAAUAUGACUUUACCCCAGACUGGCCAGCCAGGUUCUAGCACCGUUUUCAUCGUCCCCUUCUCUGAAGAAGUAAGCCUAACUGUACUUUUUUUUU